rnacentral:tRNA from 1 species
GUUUAUAUAGUUUAAUUAAAACCUUACACUUUCACUGUAAAAAUAAAAAAUUAUUUUUUAUAAAUA